rnacentral:rRNA from 12 species
GUUUGAGGUUCUAACCUUGGUCCGUUAUCCGGAUCGGGGACAGUGCAUGGUAGGCAGUUUGACUGGGGCGGUCUCCUCCCAAAUAGUAACGGAGGAGCACGAAGGUUAGCUAAUCACGGUCGGACAUCGUGAGGUUAGUGCAAUGGCAUAAGCUAGCUUAACUGCGAGACAGACACGUCGAGCAGGUACGAAAGUAGGUCAUAGUGAUCCGGUGGUUCUGAAUGGAAGGGCCAUCGCUCAACGGAUAAAAGGUACGCCGGGGAUAACAGGCUGAUACCGCCCAAGAGUUCACAUCGACGGCGGUGUUUGGCACCUCGAUGUCGGCUCAUCACAUCCUGGGGCUGAAGCCGGUCCCAAGGGUAUGGCUGUUCGCCAUUUAAAGUGGUACGCGAGCUGGGUUUAGAACGUCGUGAGACAGUUCGGUCCCUAUCUGGUGUGGGCGUUGGAUGAUUGAGGGGAGCUGCUCCUAGUACGAGAGGACCGGAGUGGACGAACCGCUGGUGUUCGGGUUGUUUUGCCAAAGGCAUUGCCCGGUAGCCAAGUUCGGAAUCGAUAACCGCUGAAAGCAUCUAAGCGGGAAGCGAGCCCCAAGAUGAGUCAUCCCUGCACGUAAGUGCUGGAAGGGUUGUUAUAGACUAUGACGUUGAUAGGCAGGGUGUGGAAGCGUUGCAAGGCGUUAAGCUAACCUGUACUAAUUGCCCGA